rnacentral:tRNA from 1 species
GCGCGUGUGGCGGAAUUGGUAGACGCGCAGGAUUUAGGUUCCUGUGUCUUCGACGUGUGGGUUCGAGUCCCAUCACGCGCA